rnacentral:rRNA from 1 species
UACGUAGGGGGCAAGCGUUGUCCGGAUUUAUUGGGCGUAAAGAGCGUGUAGGCGGCCACACAGGUCUGCUGUGAAAACUCGAGGCUCAACCUCGAGCUGUCGGUGGAAACCGUGUGGCUAGAGUCCGGAAGAGGAGAGUGGAAUUCCCGGUGUAGCGGUGAAAUGCGCAGAUAUCGGGGAAGAACACCCGUGGCGAAGGCGGCUCUCUGGGACGGUACUGACGCUGAGACGGCGAAAAGCGUGGGGAGCCGAACAGG